rnacentral:tmRNA from 1 species
GGGGCUGACUGGAUUUGACAGCAAGUGCAUUUCUUAGCAAGCAUGUCGAGCAUUGUAUUUUAGCUCGUAAAUAUUAAAAUUCAAAUUUUUUAAUUGGCGAAAAUAAUUACGCUUUAGCUGCCUAAUUUAUAUAAUUAAGUAAGCUUUUGUCUCUUUUAUAGGACAUCCUGAUUCCUGUAGAAAAUGAGGCAUAAUCAAUUUCAGGAUAGUUAAUCUAUUGCUUUUAUAGAUUAAUGAAACUUCAAAAAGCUAAGGUUAAGGUUUGGUUGCAACUUCCCUACCUUCUCACAAAAACUAAAAGCUGAUAAGCAUGUAGAAAGUUAUUUAAUUCCUUGUUUGGACGGGGGUUCGAUACCCCCCAGCUCCACCA